rnacentral:lncRNA from 1 species
AAUUGUUGAAAAAAAAGAGAGAUAAUCCUCAUUAAUAUAUAUAUUUAAGGUAUUCGAAUUAAUACACUCUAUACUAGACUUAAGAUAUCCUAAUAUUUUUGCAUGUUAUGAUUUUCAAAUUUUGUUUAGGAAACAAAAAAAAAAAAAAAUCUUGAAUAUUAAGUAAGAAUAGCUGAAUAGGAAGCAUCGUGUGACAGCCUAUUCACC